rnacentral:rRNA from 1 species
GGGUUGUGAGGUUAAGCGACUAAGCGUACACGGUGGAUGCCCUGGCAGUCAGAGGCGAUGAAGGGCGUGCUAAUCUGCGAUAAGCGCCGGUAAGGUGAUAUGAACCGUUAUAACCGGCGAUACCCGAAUGGGGAAACCCAGUGUGACUCGUCACACUAUCAUUAACUGAAUCCAUAGGUUAAUGAGGCGAACCGGGGGAACUGAAACAUCUAAGUACCCCGAGGAAAAGAAAUCAACCGAGAUUCCCCCAGUAGCGGCGAGCGAACGGGGAGGAGCCCAGAGCCUGAAUCAGCAUGUGUGUUAGUGGAAGCGUCUGGAAAGGCGCGCGAUACAGGGUGACAGCCCCGUACACAAAAGCGCAUAUGCUGUGAGCUCGAUGAGUAGGGCGGGACACGUGGUAUCCUGUCUGAAUAUGGGGGGACCAUCCUCCAAGGCUAAAUACUCCUGACUGACCGAUAGUGAACCAGUACCGUGAGGGAAAGGCGAAAAGAACCCCGGCGAGGGGAGUGAAAAAGAACCUGAAACCGUGUACGUACAAGCAGUGGGAGCACCCUUUGGGGUGUGACUGCGUACCUUUUGUAUAAUGGGUCAGCGACUUAUAUUCUGUAGCAAGGUUAACCGAAUAGGGGAGCCGUAGGGAAACCGAGUCUUAAUUGGGCGUUAAGUUGCAGGGUAUAGACCCGAAACCCGGUGAUCUAGCCAUGGGCAG